rnacentral:lncRNA from 1 species
UGUGGUUCGGUGAUUUGGGAUAUCACUAGCGAAAACGACGCCUUAAAGAAUGCACACAAUUGUCUAUUUGAGUACAUGGUUAUAGGCAUGUGUGGUUCGGUGACUAAGGAUGUCACUGGCGAAAACGGCGCCUUAAAGAAUGCAUGCAAUUGUUUAGUGGAUAAAUCAGAUUGGUGAGCUUGGCGUCUGAGAGUAUUGACCUAGAAUGGUCCGUCUAACAUGUAAUCGACUAGAUCGAUUGAUCGUCGCUUUGAUUUGAUGUUGUGAAUUGAUUGACUGAAUGGAAAUGACCGUGAGUGGUCUUGUUGGCAUAUAAUCGACUAUGUCGAUUUGUUUGAUGCUUCUAUCGGUGAUACGACUGUUUGGGUGCCUACUAUGAAUUGUACUGACUUGCAGGUAGGAUCUGAGGCCCUGUGCGUGUUUAGGCAGCCUGUAGUAUAAUGGUUUACUAAUCGAGCUUAGUGGGGUAGAACUUGCUGAGACGUAGUCUCAUCCCAGUUUGGGGAAAACCAUUUCAG